GUAGAAGAAGUAAGGAAACUGAACCACAAUUCGAGACACGAAAAUGAAGAUUUGCCAAAGAAAUUGGGCAACUCCAAACAAAUCAAUGCGAGCUGAUGUAGAGAGCCAGUCUAUCUUCAGCAGCUUAAUGUUCACCUACGCCAUGAGCUGAGAAAUUAACAGGCUGGUGGCUCAACUGCAUGUAAAGGAACUAUUGCAUUCGCUCAGCAGCGGCCCUCACUAUUGGACUUUCUCCAGCACAGCGAAUUUUGGAAAGCCAGAGGACUCUUACAAGCUAAUUCCAUGGAUGUGCAAGCGACUUAUGAAGUCAAUUCCAGGGAGUUGCUGUUUGUUGACGCCUAUCACUUGAGUGGGCCACAUAAAGACACUUUGUUGUCUGCAUCUGCCUUAGAUGUAGAUGAUGACUAAUAUCCUCUAGCUUAUGGGGUGGUUAAUACUGAUAAUGAAGAAAACUGGUUGUGGUUCCUAGAGCAUCUGAAGUAUUUACUGAUGAAUUGUCAUGUGGUUCUAAUUUCAGAUAGGAACCCAAGCUUUCUUUCAGCAACUAACAAAGUAUUUGGCAGUGGUUACAAUGCUCACUGUCUCAGCCGUUUGAAGGAGAGCCUAGACUACUUCAUAAGUAGUAAUCUGGUCUUAAAGAUGGGACAUUUACAUUCUGCUCUUGAUGCCAAGGUCAGGUAUCAGAAAGAAUAUGUUCAGGACAUGGUCUAGUUUGGAAGCACUUAUGAGCAUGCAGAACACGCGAAAUCUAGACCCAGUCCAAUACAAGCUGAACCACAGACGAAACUAGAGAAAAUGUAGGCUGAUAUUGAAAAGUUGAAGGCAAACUUGAUAGAAAAAGAAACUGAAUUGUUGAGUAUUUCAGAGGAAAUGGGAGAUGGACUAAUUCCAGUUUGGGAUUUUGGUGAAUUACACUUGGCACCCCUCAGAAGGUCAAUUCAAAUACUAAUCUGAAAACGACUUAAGUAUACUCCACAUCAGUCUCCUGCCCCAAAGAAGGUUUAUGCAAAGACCUGUUCAACUGAAAUUGUUUGUCUUUAAUAAACCAGAGGUGGCAGGUCCAUUUAUCUGAAGGAAUGUGGUAGUUCAGCGAUGAGAGCAGAUGGAGAACCUAUAGAUUGCUCGAAUGCUCAUGUGAUUGUUCAUAGAUGUACUUCAGAUUCUUUUUCAAGAACUCCUUGAAGACUGUCAAGCUUGCCAAGAAGUAGGAAGAAUUGGAGCAACUCCAAAUCCAUGCACAGAAUGAAUGUCUACAGUUCGCUCAAGCUGAGAUGUUUCCCCAGAACUUGCAGAAUCUGCACCUUCAAUUGCAGAAAGAAGAUAAAAGCUCUACCUUCCGAUCUGGGAUUAAGCUUCAGAUCAAAUUGGUGGAAAAUCUGAGAAUAAAGAUGUUGGGGCUGUUUUGAUAGCUACACAGAAUACUCUCUUACCUGAAAGCUCGGUAAUGGCAUUGAUUCUAAGGCCGGACAAGACAUCCAAACAACGCAAGUACUGGAACUAGUUACAUCACUUGGUAGGGAGACUUGCUCUCUUCUUGGGAGCUCUGAAUAUUGUGUUGGGUUCGAGUGAUGUAUGACAAACACCUAUUUGGGCAAUGGAAGUUUUAGAAACUUUUCACUGUCA